AAACUUUCAACAACGGAUCUCUUGGUUCUGGCAUCGAUGAAGAACGCAGCGAAAUGCGAUAAGUAAUGUGAAUUGCAGAAUUCAGUGAACCAUCGAAUCUUUGAACGCACAUUGCGCCCGCCGGCAUUCCGGCGGGCAUGCCUGUUCGAGCGUCAUUU
rnacentral:rRNA from 1 species